rnacentral:lncRNA from 1 species
AAGUCUUUGCAGUGAUAGUAAAGCUAUAGAAAAGCAUAGAAGGGAAGUGAUACACAGUGGAACUUAGAAAGAAUUUCCGCUGUUUCGUUCGUGUACGGAUCUCUAAGAGGAGUGGGAGUUGUUGAACUGAAUUGGAAUACAUUACUAUCAAGAAAUGUCUGCUACUUCUAUGGAAAGUUUUGCAAUUUAUGGGCCUACUCAGAGAGGGAACAACUUAAAUGCAAAUAUUUCAAAGAACACAGAGGCAAAAAGAAACAACAAAUUAUUUUUAUACUGGUUGGACACGACAUUGCUUUAUGGUAUCCCACGUAUGGAAAGUAUGUAAGAAGUUCAAUCGUCUAAAGAGAAAUUAUUGUUCUCAUUUUUCUUUGCUUGUUU